rnacentral:rRNA from 1 species
GACGAACGCUGGCGGCGUGCUUAACACAUGCAAGUCGAACGGUAAGGCCCCUUCGGGGGUUCUCUAGUGUUGAACGGGUGCGUAACACGUAGGUGUUGUUCCCUGCACUUCGGGAUUAGCCUGAGUAACUGGGUCUAAUACUGGUUCGGACUACUCUCUUCAUGCGGUUUGGUGGAAAGCUUUUGCGGUUUUUGAUGGCCCCGAUGGCUAUCUGCUUGUUGGUUUGGUUAUGUGCUACGAAGGCGACGACCGGUAGCCGGCCUGGGAGGGUGUCCGGCCACACUGGGACUGAGAGACGGCGCAGACUCCUACGGGAGGCAGCGGUGGGGAGUAUUGCAGAACAGGCGCAAGCCAGAGGCAGAGGCGCCGCGUGCGGGAUGACGGGCUUCGGGUUGUGAACAUAUUUCAGAACAGACGAAGAGAAAGUGACGGUAGGUACAGAAGAAGCACCGGCCAACUACGUG